rnacentral:rRNA from 1 species
CACGUAGGGCGCGAGCGUUGUCCGGAAUUAUUGGGCGUAAAGAGCUCGUAGGCGGCCUGUUGCGUCCGCUGUGAAAGCCCGGGGCUUAACCCCGGGUCGGCAGUGGAUACGGGCAGGCUAGAGGUAGGUAGGGGAGAAUGGAAUUCCCGGUGUAGCGGUGAAAUGCGCAGAUAUCAGGAAGAACACCCGUGGCGAAGGCGGCUCUCUGGUACGUGACUGACGCUGAGACGCGAAAGCGUGGGGAGCAAACAGG